rnacentral:rRNA from 1 species
GACGAACGCUGGCGGCGUGCUUAACACAUGCAAGUCGAACGGAAAGGCCCUGCUUUUGUGGGGUGCUCGAGUGGCGAACGGGUGAGUAACACGUGAGUAACCUGCCCUUGACUUUGGGAUAACUUCGGGAAACUGGGGCUAAUACCGGAUAGGAGCUCCUGCUGCAUGGUGGGGGUUGGAAAGUUUCGGCGGUUGGGGAUGGACUCGCGGCUUAUCAGCUUGUUGGUGGGGUAGUGGCUUACCAAGGCUUUGACGGGUAGCCGGCCUGAGAGGGUGACCGGCCACAUUGGGACUGAGAUACGGCCCAGACUCCUACGGGAGGCAGCAGUGGGGAAUAUUGCACAAUGGGCGGAAGCCUGAUGCAGCAACGCCGCGUGCGGGAUGACGGCCUUCGGGUUGUAAACCGCUUUCGCCUGUGACGAAGCGUGAGUGACGGUAAUGGGUAAAGAAGCACCGGCUAACUACGUGCCAGCAGCCGCGGUGAUACGUAGGGUGCGAGCGUUGUCCGGAUUUAUUGGGCGUAAAGGGCUCGUAGGUGGUUGAUCGCGUCGGAAGUGUAAUCUUGGGGCUUAACCCUGAGCGUGCUUUCGAUACGGGUUGACUUGAGGAAGGUAGGGGAGAAUGGAAUUCCUGGUGGAGCGGUGGAAUGCGCAGAUAUCAGGAGGAACACCAGUGGCGAAGGCGGUUCUCUGGGCCUUUCCUGACGCUGAGGAGCGAAAGCGUGGGGAGCGAACAGGCUUAGAUACCCUGGUAGUCCACGCUGUAAACGGUGGGUACUAGGUGUGGGGUCCAUUCCACGGGUUCCGUGCCGUAGCUAACGCUUUAAGUACCCCGCCUGGGGAGUACGGCCGCAAGGCUAAAACUCAAAGGAAUUGACGGGGCCCCGCACAAGCGGCGGAGCAUGCGGAUUAAUUCGAUGCAACGCGUAGAACCUUACCUGGGUUUGACAUGGAUCGGGAGUGCUCAGAGAUGGGUGUGCCUCUUUUGGGGUCGGUUCACAGGUGGUGCAUGGCUGUCGUCAGCUCGUGUCGUGAGAUGUUGGGUUAAGUCCCGCAACGAGCGCAACCCUUGUUCACUGUUGCCAGCACGUUAUGGUGGGGACUCAGUGGAGACCGCCGGGGUCAACUCGGAGGAAGGUGGGGAUGACGUCAAGUCAUCAUGCCCCUUACGUCCAGGGCUUCACGCAUGCUACAAUGGCUGGUACAGAGAGUGGCGAGCCUGUGAGGGUGAGCGAAUCUCGGAAAGCCGGUCUCAGUUCGGAUUGGGGUCUGCAACUCGACCUCAUGAAGUCGGAGUCGCUAGUAAUCGCAGAUCAGCAACGCUGCGGUGAAUACGUUCCCGGG